CUGGACACAAGCAGUCCUCCCACCUCAGCUUCCCAAAGUGCUAGAAUUACAGGCAUGAGCCACCACGCCUAUCCUGGAGGUGAUAUAUUUUUAACAAAUAUCUCACAUGAUUUUGAAGGUAGUGGUCAGUGAUUGCACUUUGAGGACAUUCAUAGGGCCCUCAUACAAAUUUCUGGUGCCUGUAACUCUUCCCCUAUCAAGGCAGGAGUUUCCGCCCUUUUGAAUAUAAACAUAGGUUUGGGGGAUUCUUCAUAAUACUUUCUGAAAGCACUGGAAUCUAUAACAGACCUGUGGGAGUCAGAAAAUGGGGACUUUUCCCCCCUCAUUUAAUACUUACAACUAUAUUGGUAAGUUAGUAGGAGUAGUAAUUUUCCCAUAUAAUAAGCCCACUCUUGUACAUGUAGAAACAGAGAAAAGAACUACAAAGGUAAAUGUUAGUGCAUGUUGAAAUGUAUUUAAGAACUCUGUUUUUGUUGGCAAGAUUGUUCUUAUUGUAGAAGUGGAUAUUAUCAGAUUAUUUUAGAUGUUAUUCAACAUUUGAUUUAUUUACCAAAUUGUCCUUACUUUGAAUAUAAGCAAACUUUUUUAUUGUGGUAAAGUAUACAUAGCAUAAAAUUACCAUUCUAAUCAUUUUUUAAUGUACCAUUUAGUGGCAUUAAUUACAAGCAACCUUUUUUUUUUUUUUUUGAGACAUAGCCUCACUCUGUCACCCAGGCUGGAGUUCAGUGGCACUAUCUCAGCUCACUGCAAUCUCUGCUUCCUGGGUUCAAGCGAUUCUUGUGCCUCAGCCCUCCCGAGUAACUGGGAUUACAGGCACACACCACCAUGCCCAGCUAAUUUUUUUGUAUUUUUAAUAGAGAUGGGGUUUCAUUAUAUUGGUUAGGUUGGUCUUGAACUCCUGACCUCAAGUGAUCUGCCUGCCUUGGCCUCCCAAAGUGCUGGGAUUAUAGGCAUGAGCCACCGCGUCUGGCAUACAAACUUUUGAUUACAGUUUGACACCUGUUGAUGGACAGAAAAUGGAGUAACCGUCCAGGCAGGAAUGUUCUAGUCUGUGUGACAGUUACAGUUCAUUUUAUAAAUAAACAAUUGACUUUUUUUGGUAGUUAUGGUCCCUACCCUCAGUGCUGUAUCUCUAUUUGGUAUUCAAACAAAUCCAGGGAAUCUGCAAGGCUGAAGGGCAGAUUCUUGGCAAUGGUAAAUUCAGUAGGUCCUGCCACCAUUUGAGGCCUCCUCGGAGACAGCCAUACUAGUCUAAUCUCUUCUUGACUUUCCCUUCUUCUUUCCCAGUCCUCUAAUUCCCAGAGGUCUGUUGUGAAUUCUAAUGCUUUCAGAAAAUAUUACGGAGAAUCCCACAAUGAUAAAAUUUCCCAGUUUUUGUUUUAAAACAAAGUUGAAAAAUAUUAUAUUAGGGGUCAGGGUGAGGUGCUGUUGAUGGUGACAGAUGGCCCCCUUGGCGACAGGGAAGUAUGAAAUAGCAUGGAGUGUGGAAGGGUACUAUGGGUAGCUUAUUUAUUAGAUCAGUAUAAAGUAUAGAUUUAAGAGAGUUAGAUUAAAAUGGCAUGCUUGAUUCAAGUCAUUAAAUUCUAAAGUUCUAUUAAAAUUGUAGAGGAGAUACAAUAAUACAAAUUUCAGCAAUAAGGAUAGAUUUAUAAUCACACUAGGAAGACAAGAAGGGUGCUGUGAAAUAUUUCUAGAAGAUACAAAACAAGGAAUUAGAUCUUGGUGAAACCAAGAGAGCCAAGGAACUGACAGCCACAUGCCGAUGAUAAUUAAAGAAUUACCUCCAGUUGUAGAGACAGCUCUGAGAUGGGGUGUCUGUAGUGUGCUAAGCCAGAUUUUUGAAGGACUAGAUAGUUAUUCUGGUCUCUGACUCAGAGCUGCUGGUCCACAGAAUUCCUCUAAGCUAAAGCUGUAACACAAUUUGAUGUUUGCCAAAUAAGGUGAGACUCACAGAGUAUAUGUGCAGAGCAUAUAAUGCAGAGCAUACAAAUAGGGGCCAUCGAAGUGUGGCAAUGCCCUAGGUAUAUUGUGAUUACCACAAGGAGCUUUAUUCCUCAUACUUAGAAAACAAGCACACAAAGAAAAAUCUGCCAGCUGUCUAUUUCCCAAUUUUCCUUCUGACUGUUCCUUUCUCCUUCCUCACACAAUUAAAAUGCUAGGUUUCCUGUAAUCGCAAUCUUCAGGGAAUUUUUCACUCAAGCCCAGAAAAUAAACUCCAGAUAAUGAUACUGAGAAAUUUAUUGGUUGGAAAACUGCUAUCUACAGGCCUUCCACUACCUAUUUCUUAGUAGAUUUUACAUUUUUAAAGGGUUGUAGAACACCAAAACAAUAUAUGACAGAUACUGUGUUUGGGCCUUAAAGCCUACCCUUUAUAUAAAAAGUUUGUUGACUCCUAGGCUCUCAUUUGCAAGUAGACAAAUGAGAAACAGCAAAUAUUUAAGGAAAAGAGCAACAUGAAAAAUACACAGCAAACUUAACAAGCAGAAAGAAUUCCUGGGGAAACAAUUCAGGGGGAAAAAAUGACCAAGUAUAAUUAGUAUUAUAUGGAAUAAUAAUUACUACUACUUAUAAUAGUUUCAUAUGUAAUCCUCAUCAUAUUAUAUGUCAUAAUCUUCAAAUAUUUUAGAGGUUAUUGUACUAAUUUUAAAAAUGCAAGUUGCUAUAAAGAAGUAUCUUG
rnacentral:lncRNA from 10 species